CAGAGUGAGGGGUAGAGUAGACUGUAGGUAUGACAGGGAAACAGAGUGAGAGGUAGAGUAGUAUGAAAGGGGAACAGAGUGAGAUUUAGAGUAGACUGUAUGUAUGACAGGGGAACAGAGUGAGGUGUAGAGUAGUAUGAAAGGGGAACAGAGUGAGAUUUAGAGUAGACUGUAUGUAUGACAGGGGAACAGAGUGAGGUGUAGAGUAGUAUGAAAGGGGAACAGAGUGAGAUUUAGAGUAGACUGUAUGUAUGACAGGGAAACAGAGUGAGAGGUAGAGUAGACUGUAGGUAUGACAGGGGAACAGAGUGAGGGGUAGAGUAGACUGUUGGUAUGACAAGGGAACAGAGUGAGGGGUAGAGUAGACUGUAGGUAUGACAGGGAAACAGAGUGAGAGGUAGAGUAGUAUGAAAGGGGAACAGAGUGAGAUUUAGAGUAGACUGUAUGUAUGACAGGGGAACAGAGUGAGGUGUAGAGUAGUAUGAAAGGGGAACAGAGUGAGAUUUAGAGUAGACUGUAUGUAUGACAGGGAAACAGAGUGAGAGGUAGAGUAGACUGUAGGUAUGACAGGGGAACAGAGUGAGGGGUAGAGUAGACUGUAGGUAUGACAGGGGAACAGAGUGAGGGGUAGAGUAGACUGUAGGUAUGACAGGGAAACAGAGUGGGAGGUAGAGUAGACUGUAGGUAUGACAGGGAAACAGAGUGAGAGGUAGAGUAGUAUGAAAGGGGAACAGAGUGAGAUUUAGAGUAGACUGUAUGUAUGACAGGGAAACAGAGUGAGAGGUAGAGUAGACUGUAGGUAUGACAGGGGAACAGAGUGAGGGGUAGAGUAGACUGUUGGUAUGACAGGGGAACAGAGUGAGGGGUAGAGUAGACUGUAGGUAUGACAGGGAAACAGAGUGAGGGGUAGAGUAGACUGUAGGUAUGACAGGGAAACAGAGUGAGGUGUAGAGUAGACUGUAUGUAUGGC